GUCCAGCUGAAGAGUCCCAAAGAGGACUAAACGCCCGUCCUGAAU
rfam:Schistosoma margrebowiei strain Zambia genome assembly, scaffold: SMRZ_contig0000482